CGAAGCUUUCUUUGUCUCUUGUUCCUACCCUGCUGGUGUAUGGCUGUUGGCUGCUGCUGCUUAAUUGCUGAUUAUACAACUUAUACGGCUACUGGAUCGAUAUGAACCACUGGGUAUGCGUGUCUGAAUAAACAACUUGGGCCACAUGGGCAUGUGCAACUGGACAUGUGCCGCUUCAUUCGUACGUCUAUACACACCGUGUGCGCAACCGCGCACCGCUCCUGGUCAAAUUGUCAUACCGAAUUUCCCGAGAACAAAUGGUUAAAGUUAGCGCAUUCGUGAUGUCUCCGUUUGCCCCUUUCGUCCUUGUCUGCUGGCACUAUAAAUGUUCUAAAAAAAAAAAAACUGCCCGCUUUUCGGCCUAUAUCUCUCGUUGUGGGUAUGUGCCAAUGAUUGGAAUCAUCAUCAUCAUCAAAAUCAAGCCGCGGUCUGGGAACCGGUCGCUCCUCGACGCCUGGGAUGCCGCCGCGAGCGUCGAACAAGCAAGCAGCCCCGCUCUGCCCUUGAGAAAGUGGGGGGUGGCCGCGGGGCAGAGUGGGAGGGCGCAGUCGCACGCUCCGCGCGUCCCGGGCUCCCAAAAUUCUCGCCGGCUAUAACCCCUCGUCCCCCCCUCGUACGUGUAUAGGCGCCCGGGCCUGGGACGGGCCGGCGCGACGCUUGGGCGCGCUCGCAGUCGGACUGCACCAACGACGUCUGCUCCGCGACAGGCCGAGCUUUCGGGUGCCGCAUAACCGGAGCCGGAUCUACAUGGACAACGGCACCAACGGCGAGCGCGUCACGAUGAGUGGCAAAUGGACGCAAGUCGCGUUCGUUGUGUCCGCCAUCUUGGGCGCGUACCUCUUCAACCGCCAGCGUGUGAGCAUCUAUACCUUCGAGCCGCCGCUGGACGAGAGGAUACCGUGCGCUGCCGUCCCUUCCAUGAUGGAGCGCCGGGAGGACUGUGAGGCCGCUGUGUGUUUGUGGAAGGAGGCCGAGGCACCGUACCCUCGAUGCUUCCAGCCUCGGGACUACUACGGCUACCGGCUGCGCAGCUACUCGGUGCAGGACACGGGCCACGUCCUGUUUAACCUGACCUACGCGGGGGGUCCGUACAGCCCUCACUCCGAUGGUCUCAUAGCCAACGUACAGUUCGAGGUGAUCAAGUACAGCGACCGCAUCGUGCGCUUCAAGUUCGUGAAUGCCGAAGAGCGGCGCUACGAGGUGCCCGUUCAGGACACCUUCGAGUCCCUCCGCAAGCCUCUGAACAUGUACGACCUGCGAUACUCCUUCAAGAUGGGCUCCAGCAGCCGCGGCGGCUUCUUCCACUUCAGCUUAAUGCGUCGUCACACGGACGUCAAGCUCAUCGACACCAGCAUCGGCGGCCUGGUGAUGACCAACCAGUACCUGCAGUUUGUCACGUACCUGCCGUCGACCAACCUGUACGGCUUCGGCGAGACAGUACGCAAGAGACUGCGGCAUGAGUUCGACUUCACUACUCACGUGAUGUUCGCCAGGGACCAAAUGCUCAAGGACGGCAAAAACCUGUACGGCGUCCAUCCAUUCUACAUGUGCGUAGAGGACGGUGGCAAAGCGCACGGCGUACUCCUUCUCAACAGCAAUGCUAUCGAGUACACGCUUCUCAAGGCUCCCGCUCUGCGGCUGGCCACCAUCGGUGGAGUGCUCGACUUCUUCCUUUUCGUGGGCGACAACCCCAUGGAGGUCAUCGAACUUUACGCCAGCGUGAUCGGCAAGCCAUUCCUGCCCCCCUACUGGGCGCUGGGAUUCCAGCUGUCGCGCUACGGUUACGGGUCGCUGGAGAAACUCAGGAAGGUGCUGGAGAGGAACCAGAAGGCCGGAUUCCCCGUGGACGUGCAGCACCUGGAUAUCGACUACAUGGAAAACUCGACCACGUUCACCGUCGACCCCGUGCGCUACGCUGGUCUGAUGGGCUUCAUGGCUGAGCAGCGAGAGAAGCACGGACUGCGAUUCGUCGUCAACCUGACGCCAGCACUUCCGAGCACGUUCCGCGGCUACCGGCCGUUCAUGCGCGGCCGCCACCUCAAGACGUUCGUCGAGUACCCGAGCAUGACGCCGCUGGAGCGCCGUAGCAUGCCUCCCGUCAACUUCAAGACGCGCAACGUCAUGUUCGGAAUACUGUGGCCCUGCAGCCCCGUGGCGUACGUGGACUUUUUCAAGAACUCCACCGCCCUCUGGUGGAAGAAGGAACUCGCGGAGCUGCGAAAGAAGCUACCCUUCGACGGCAUCUGGCUGGACAUGAACGAACCGGCCGAGUUCAGCACCAACCGCGGGGCGCUGAGCCCCGCCGUGCGCGAGAAGUGCUUCAAGGACUGGAAGCUGCAGUGCCACGUGACCAUCUUCGACGAUCCGCCAUACCCGACGAGGGCGGCGACUCAGUACGGCCCAGAGGCCCGUCUCAGCGACCGCACCCUGUGCAUGAGCGGCCGCUUGGGCGACACGGAGAGCUACUGGCACUACGACGUGCACAACCUGUACGGCUGGAGCGAGAUGCGCGCCACGCACAGCGCCCUUGACGAAGUGCUCAGCGAGCGGCAGGUGAUCAUCAGCCGGUCGACGUACCCGUCGAGCGGCCGGUACGGAGGGCACUGGCUCGGUGACAACCAAAGCACCUGGACACACCUCCGCCGCUCCAUCAUCGGCAUGCUGGAGUUCAACAUGUUCGGCAUACCGUACGUAGGCGCUGACAUAUGCGGCUUCGUCGGAAACGUCACAGAGGACCUGUGCGUCCGGUGGAUGCAGCUCGGCGCCUUCUACCCGUUCAGCAGAUCCCACAACCACAUCAGAGCAGUCGACCAAGACCCGGCGGUGUUCAGCGAGGCCGCGCAGGCCGUGAUGAGGAAGGCGCUGCAGGUGCGCUACACGCUGCUGCCCUACCUGUACACGCUCUUCUACGAGGCGCACAGCAACGGCACGCCCGUCGUCAGGCCUCUGUUCUUCGAGUUCCCGCAGGAACCCCAUACGUACGGCAUCGAUGCGCAGUUCAUGUGGGGCAAGUCUCUGCUCAUCUCUCCCAUCACACGAAAUAACACAUACAUGUCGUUCUACCUGCCUGCGGGACUGUGGUACGAGUACUACGACAACACUCCGUUCCUGAGCACGGGCGAGUACAUGGUUCACAACUGGCUCACGCUGAAGACGCCGACACCGCUGUACGUCCGGGCAGGUUCCGUGCUCCCGACGCAGACCCCGGGGCCGAACACGCGCGACAGGCUCAACAAAACCGUCACCCUGGUGGUGUACCCACAUAACGGGACGGCAUCCGGUACUCUCUUCUGGGACGAUGGCGUCGGGAAACGAAACAUCGAAACCGGUGCCUACGAUUACUUCCGGUUCCGCAUCGCCGCUUGUCACAUGACCAUUAACCGGCUGCACAAGAACACUGCACCCGUGCCUCUCAUCAUCGGGAGCCUCGUGAUGGUGGGCCAGGAGACCGCGCCCACCCAGCUCUACGUGGAUGAGCAGCAGCAGCGAAAUUCCAUAGCUCCGAUCGGGAACAAGAAGCAUGCAGCAAAGCAGGAGGCAUCACAGAGCCCGACAACUUCUCCACCUCCUGAAUCCGGUGACAGUUCCGAAACCCAGGCUGACAUGAACAAGAAACUUCGGAAAAGAAACUGUAUAGUCGUUGGCUGCACCAAGAGCAGCAAGCCUCUACACCGGGUGCCCCAAAACUACGAGCUCCGCCGUGCAUGGCUGGAGCGAAUCGGGCUCCCACCAUCGGACACGCGAGCCCACAUAUCCGUGUGCGAACGGCAUUUCGCCAUCAAUGCUCACGCGCUAAACCCAGAUCUGGUGGAGGAAUUGGGCUUCGCUUCUAGGUGGCGGUUGCGGCGAGAUGCGGUGCCGACGCUGUUUCUUCCCACCGGUCCAGCUUCAUUGCAGCAGUGCAGCUGUCAUUGUGCGAGCGGCACAGUGUUUACCCAGACCAUUCCGUACCAGUGCACUGUUGAACAGACUUCAGUGAUGGCUAUGCAAAGGAAUGCUGAUGGAUCUUCACAUGUCGACGGCAACGCAGACCGCAGCUUCUUUCUCCCAGCCAUGACCAACGCAGAACCCCGGGCGGAACACUGCUUUUCUAAUGUAUCUUGGAGGUGGUUCUCCGGUGACGUACGUGUAGGACGAGCGUCAGCACAGCCAAAUUUAUUUCGAGGAGCUGGCAAAAGGCAGUCUUGCACUGCCUAGAACAGCCUAGAGUCAUCGACUGUUCCUAUGGCUGUGAUGUUGGGUUUCCAAAGCCAUCAGAAUUGCAAUAGUCUUACUUCAGCCAGAAGAAGUACUACUCUGCAUGAUGUCAAAGCAUCCUAUUAGACAUGUUCGUAGACAUGUUCACUGGCUAACCCAGUUCUACCCAUGGUGCCCACGUCCUGAAGAAGAGCUUUUACAAGGAUGCAGCAGCCAAGGGCCAAGGUGGGGACGUACAUUCUGGGUGCCUCGGCUUAUCCCUUGCAACCUCGACUCCUGACACUACACAAGGCUACAACGAAAGACAUGAUGCAAAGGAAACUACUAUUGUAGUCACAGUCUGCAGAGGGGGAUUAUUGAGGGCACCUUUGGACUGCUGAACGACCUGUUCAGACACCUCUUCAAUGCAGCAUCCAUAAAGACAAUAAUCAUCGGAGCAUGUGUUCUGAACUUGUGCAGUUGCUUCAGUGAUUGAGACAGUGACGGAUGAACUGCGGACAUCGGCCUCAAGUAUCGUGUCGCAUGCUGAUGACAGUGACAUCGAGCCCUGGCCAGGCAGAUUGAGAAAUUGUACUCUGAGAACGCAGCAAACAGUUGAGUUCUGCUUGUUGAGUUUUGUUGUUGUUCAGUAGUUUAUGCAAGAACACAUUUGAAUUUAACCUUGGGAAACGUUUUCUUCCAUGACGAAUACACAUUUUCAAGUUGACAUGUUCCUGACAAACUACACUAAUGUUCAAAUCGCAAGACAUUGUGCUUAUUUGGGAAUUGGUUGUAUAAUAAGUGUUUUAGUUUGCGUA